UGGGAACCUUCCCUAUGGUUCGGAAUAGCUCAGGGGAAACUUGGGGUAAUACCGGAUAAGCCCUUCGGGGGAAAGAUUUAUCGCCAUUGGAUGGGCCCGCGUCGGAUUAGCUAGUUGGUGAGGUAACGGCUCACCAAAGGCAACGAUCCGUAGCUGGUCUGAGAGGAUGAUCAGCCACACUGGGACUGAGACACGGCCCAGACUCCUACGGGAGGCAG
rnacentral:rRNA from 1 species